rnacentral:rRNA from 1 species
GACGAACCGUGCGAACGUUGUUCGGAAUCACUGGGCUUAAAGGGUGCGUAGGCGGGCAUUCAAGUCAGGGGUGAAAUCCUCCCAGCUUAACGUGGAGAACUGCCUCUGAUACUGGAUGCCUCGAGUGAGGUAGGGGCGUGCGGACUGAUGGUGGAGCGGUGAAAUGUGUGAUAUCAUCAGGAACUCCGUGGCGAAAGCGGCGCGCUGGACCUUAACUGACGCUGAGGCACGAAAGCCAGGGGAGCAAACGGG